rnacentral:lncRNA from 1 species
UAGGGCUGCAUUCAUCCACCUCGUGCUUAUCGCCUACUCCAACGCCGACUCCUGCUCGUCGGUCGUCGCCUCGUCCAGCUCUCUCCGCCCCUCCAGCCUAGCCUAGCCCCUCCUGCUCACUGCGUCGUCUCCAGAAUCCGGCCUACGACCGUUGGCGGCUGGUGCCCCCACCGGCAAUCGGUGGUCAUGGUCUGUCCCUGCUCACUCCAUUCAGAUCCGCUAUGCGCGAGGCGCAACUGGAUCUAUCGUAUUCCUGGUUGCUCUCUCCCUCUCCGCGGGCGAUGCGCCUCUCUAGGUUCUACCGGCGUCCGUCCAACCGGUGUUCAGCGUGCCUUCGCAGGCCCCCUUCUCUGCCUUCGAUGAGUGCAUUUGGUGAGUGGUGACACAACUGGGCGGAGUGGUGAACUAGUGAUUGAUGCGCUUGCCGGCGACUUGCAAACUAAGUCAGAAUCGGCUUCUCAUCUUCCUAUCCCUUUGUGUGAUACUACUACUCUGUAUGUGGAAAAAAUAAUUAUUCCCUGGUUUAAUAUUAUUUGUUCUUAAGUCUGAAAAUUCACUCAUAUAGUUCAUUUGUGCAGUGUUUUUUAGUCCUUAGCUAUUAGAGAAUGAUGCCUGGUAAUACCUGAAUCGGCCACUGCAUUUUAUUAUCCUGUUGUUAUUAAAUUUGGCUAUUAGAUAAUGCCAGCGUUUUUUAUUAUCCUGAAUCGGCCACUGCAUUUUUUAGUCCUUAGCUAUUAGAGAAUGAUGUCUGAAAAUUCACUCGUAUAGAUAAGGAACGUUGUCUAGCAACAAGAGAGAUCAUGUCACAAAAAAUCCUCAAGCUAAAACAAGAACAUGUUACACUAUAUUUUAUUAUCCUGUUGUUAUUAAAUUUGGCUCGGGGCUUCGGUAAUACCUGAAUCGGCCACUGCAUAGAGUAGUAAACCUAAAAAAAAUCAGACUCUUAUUGUUAUAUAAUUUCCAUGGUUUCUUCCUCUAUGAAUAGGAGAGAAAAAUUGAUCCUAGAUUGCAGUCUACUAAGAUGCAUGCAAUGCGUUAUCUCCUUAUACAGUUACUGUUACAAGUUCUUCUCCAUCCAGAUCAGUAUUGGGAGGCUGCACUUGAUGUGACUAUAUGUUGGAAGAAAUCCUUUCUUGUCAUUGCUCGAGGUGAUAACUCCAGUGACUAUAUUGUCGACCUUCACUUCUCGCUACAACAAAGAUGCGGUCCUUCUUACCAUCCUUUUACUAUCUGAUUUCCCUAAAAUAAUUUUGUUUGACUAUUCAAAUCAUGCUUGGAGAGGAUCAUGGCGUGGGAUCAGAAAGAGCACCAACAAUUUUCUACAUGUUGUACAAUGGGGUUAUGAUUACUUGAAUUUUGUCAUUUGUUUUAGUAAUUAUGUGAUCUGCAAUUGAUCUAGCACAAGCACAUUCAAAUUGACCAAUUUCUACUAGUGCUAUAACUUUAUUCCGAAUGGAUGGCUUCCUUCCGGAAAGACUAAACUGAAUAAUUAUGUCAAAGUUGUUUCACUAGUUUGGCCUAAUAGGUAUUGAUCUAUGGUAUCUAGACUACAUAUUGUACUAUAUGGUUGAUUGUUCUGAUUUCGGGCUUGGUUAAUCUGACGUUUCUAGCAUCCAAACAUAUAGAUAUAUGUCAGCUACCUGUGUACCAUGCACGAAUAAUCCUAUAAAUUCAGGUUGAAUAUUUUCUGCAUGUAACCUAAAACUUCUACGCUAUGGUCUUUCACUUACAGGUUGUUAAAGAAGAGCAGAUGUGCUAUUUUGGUUGGUCUAAAAUCAGGGGUGGACCAACAGGGGG